rnacentral:rRNA from 1 species
AUGUCUCUUCAUCAAUCAUCAAUGGGGGUGCAUGGCAAUGAAGGCACGCUGAUGUUCUCCUCCAUCGCGCUGCUGCGGCAAAGGUUCAGCGAGCUGGAGAGGAUCAAGGAGAAACAGGAGGUCAGGCUUUACCACAUACUCGCCCUCGCGGACCCGACUUCACUCACAUUGUCAGUAACAAAACCAGAAUUGAGUGGAGCCGCCGGUCAGAUGAUUCUUCCACUCAGAGCUGCUGCAUCCAUACAGGCCUCUGUGCGGCACUACUACCUUCUGUCCAGUCGUGCCAGCCACCAAAACUGCUUCGGAAUGCAAAACCAUCCAGCUCGGCAGCGAUUCACUCACCGUGGCCCAGCGAGGCCUACAAGCACGCGUGCAGCGAAGUUGAUGCCUGACACCUCAGUGCACCUCUAG